rnacentral:rRNA from 1 species
GACGAACGCUGGCGGCGUGCUUAACACAUGCAAGUCGAACGGGCCCGCUCUCUUUUUUGGGGGUGGGUUGAGUGGCGAACGGGUGAGUAUCACGUGAGUAACCUGCCCCCUGCUCCUGGAUAACUGCUUGAAAGGGCGGCUAAUACGGGGUGUGCCGGCUGGUCCGCAUGGGCCUGGUCGGGAUAGUUUCAUCUUCGGGUGUUUCGGUGGGGGAUGGGCUCGCGGCCUAGCAGCUUGUUGGGGGGGGGAUGGCCCACCAAGGCGGUGACGGGUAGCCGGCCUGGGGGGGUGGGCGGCCCCCCUGGGACUGAGACACGGCCCAGCCUCCUGCGGGAGGCAGCGGUGGGGGGUAUUGCACGAUGGGCGGAAGCCUGAUGCAGCGACGUCGCGUGAGGGAUGGAGGCCUUCGGGUUGUGAACCUCUUUCUCCGGUGGUGAAGGCCCUGUCCGUUGCGGCGGGGUUGACGGUAGCCGGGUAUGAAGCGCCGGCUAACUACGUG